GACGAACGCUGGCGGCGUGCUUAACACAUGCAAGUCGAGCGGUAAGGCCCUUUCGGGGGUACACGAGCGGCGAACGGGUGAGUAACACGUGGGUGACCUGCCCUCAGCUCUGGGAUAAGCCUGGGAAACCGGGUCUAAUACCGGAUAUGACUCCAUGACGCAUGUUGUGGGGUGGAAAGCCUUGUGCGGCUGAGGAUGGGCCCGCGGCCUAUCAGCUUGUUGGUGGGGUGANGGCCUACCAAGGCGACGACGGGUAGCCGGCCUGAGAGGGCGACCGGCCACACUGGGACUGAGACACGGCCCAGACUCCUACGGGAGGCAGCAGUGGGGAAUCUUGCGCAAUGGGCGAAAGCCUGACGCAGCGACGCCGCGUGAGGGAUGACGGCCUCGGU
rnacentral:rRNA from 1 species